rnacentral:lncRNA from 1 species
AGAUUUAGCACAGUCCCUGCUGCUUCUUUCAAACUCCUGGUGAUCAUUGCUAAGGUCCCCAAGAAAACCUGUGAGUCUAGAGGACUUUAGCAAGAGUGGGUGGAUGGUAUUUAGGUACAAGAGAGGCCAUCCAGAGGACCAGAAUGACUUCUCAGGUCUCCUGUUAGAUGACCAAAGAAGAGAUGAACCUUCCUUCUGUAUCCAUCAGGCUGAGAGGAUUGUCUGGAUGAAGAAAGGAAACCAAGAGAUCCUUUAGCAUGCCACCUCAGGAGAAUUUGCUGUACUAGUGUGUCCUGCACCAUCUGGACAGUUGGAUAUCCAGCUUCCAAAAGAUACUUUGUUAUAGGUUUAAGACAGGAUCAAUCUUCGGCUACCAUUUCAUCAAGGCUAACUAUUUUAUUUCAUUUUUUUCUGUCAACUUUCAAAAAACCACAUCUUCACCAAGGACACGUAGAAUGAGAGAGAAAUGAUGUUGACACUUUCCAUUCCUUCACAGGAGCCUUUUAAAAACCACCAACAUGACUUACCACGAUAUACACAAAUCUGAGUUGCUGUCCACAACAGCAUCAUGGGUCUGAGCAAAUGCAUAAGAACCCUUUCCCAUUGCUUUUACAUUAAAGUUUCAAUUUAGCAAACAUUUAUUUCAAAGAAAUUUUUCCCCAGAAAAAAAGAUUCUUGAACUUGACACAGAAAAAUAUGUCAAACACACAGAUUCUACUUCUUCAGAUAUUCCAAACUAAUUACCCCUUAAUUUGCAUGUGAAAGCAAAUUAUAGCCUAAUAAAAGUUUGCCUGCCAAACCUUUCUUUAUCUUA